rnacentral:rRNA from 1 species
AACGAACGCUGGCGGCAUGCCUAACACAUGCAAGUCGAACGAGACCUUCGGGUCUAGUGGCGCACGGGUGCGUAACGCGUGGGAACCUGCCCUUAGGUUCGGAAUAACUCCCCGAAAGGGGUGCUAAUACCGGAUAAUGUCUUCGGACCAAAGAUUUAUCGCCUUUGGAUGUGCCCGCGUUGGAUUAGCUAGUUGGUAGGGUAAAAGCCUACGACGGCGACGAUCCAUAGCUGGUCUGAGAGGAUGAUCAGCCACACUGGGACUGAGACACGGCCCAGACUCCUACGGGAGGCAGGAGUGGGGGAUAUUGGACAAUGGGCGGAAGCCUGAUGCAGCUCUGCCGCGUGAGUGAUGAAGGCCUUAGGGUUGUAAAGCUCUUUUACCCGGGAUGAUAAUGACAGUACCGGGAGAAUAAGCUCCGGCUAACUCCGUG